rnacentral:lncRNA from 1 species
GAAAAUCGCGGUGAGGACAGCCGCCACCAUGUGGGCUGCGUACCACUUGCUUGACCCGGCCGACACCGCGUUGCAGCCUGAAAUGGCUCCGGCUAUGGUGAUGAUGUGGAGGAGGACAAGCAGUCCGCCGGCGACGGAGGGGAGAAGGCGGAGGGAGAGUGUGAGGAAGAUGCAACUGGAGGCUGCUCCCAGUAAGAUGUAAUUGCUGAUGAGGAAGAGUUUGUGUGUUUUGUAGUGUGAUUGAGCAUCGCUUGAGAGACCCAUUUGCUUAAACUUUUUGUCUGAGUUUUCCGGGGAGCUGUGGCGGUGUUGGUGGCGAUGUAAUUACAGUAGCGGUGAUGGGAGGAGAAGUUAGAUGGUAUUGAAGAGAAGGCUUUGGUGUGUGUGUGUAUAUACAGAUACAAAAGGCAUUGACGACCGUUUGUUUGAUAACGGCUAGUUGGAGAAAUAAUUGUCCAACGGCUAUGAAGACUUUUGCAAUUUGUUGCUUUUUCUAAAGAAGAAAAAUAAAAGGGUUGUCUACCUUUUUCAAAAAUUAUGGGCAUAGUUUUUUCAUACCUCAAACCAUUUUUUAGGAUUUUAAUUAUUAUUGUUAUUAUUAUUAUUUAGAAAAUUUGAAAAUAGUUUAGUUAUUGGGGAAAUAUAUUGAUGCAAUAAAAAUGGUUAUCGUAAACAGAAAAAGCAUAGAAUGAAAAGUUCAAAGAAAAGUUCCCAUUGUGAAAAUCUUAUGUUUUAUACUAAGGUCCAAGUGGCUAAGGCUUUUAGUUAAACAUGUAUUUAAUAUUUAAUAGUUGCUAAAUUAACCUUUAAAUUUCAAAGUAUGGUUUUAUGUGAUGAUGCAGGCAUUUAAGGAUAAUCAUGUUUGUAAAAACGAAAAUCGAUGAAAAAAUAUUGUACAUUGCUAUUUUUGCCCAUAAAGUUUUACAUUGCUAUUUUUGCCCAUAAAGUUUUGUAUAAGUAAAUGAAAAAUAAUAGCAUUGUACUUUUAUAAAAUCAAUUAAGAGGGACAUAAAAUAGUUAAUGGUGGAAUUGAAUAAAUAACUAAACAAAUAGCAUUGUACUUUUCAGGAUAUGAUUAAGUAGUUUUAUGUAACUUUAUGAAGUAAAAGGGUAGUUAUGUAAUUUACAGCAUUAUGAUAAGCCUUUUAAAGAGUUUUUGUUUGUUUUCUAUAUUAUUUUUUUUGGAUUAAAGGUAAGUAACUUUUUUUCUGUUUAUUUAAAAAGUUUCAGAAAAAUAGAUAAUCGAUGAAAAAUACUUAAAAAAACAACAUUGUUGUUGGAUUUUACGGUGGAAUUGAUUAACACUUAAACAAAUAGUAUUGUGCUUUUAGGAUAUGAAUAUGUAGUUUUAUGUAAUUUUAUGAAGCAAAAAAGGUAAUUAUGUAUUUUACAAAAGUACGAUACCCUUCUAAUGAGAUUUUACUAGGGCCGUACAGUAUUUAGAUAAAACCGAAUAGUCUAAUUGGACAAUUUGGAUUGAACUAUUUGGUUUGGACAAUCGGAUUUUUGGAUUGUUUUCAACAAAACUAAAUUAUUAAUUUGGAUUUCGGAUUGGUUUUGGUUUAUAAAAUAAGAACCGAAUAGUCCAAAAAACCGAAUAAUAAUUUAUUAUUUAUUUAUUUAUUAAUAUAUCUAUAAUUAUUAAUUAAUUUUGUAAUAUAUUUUUCAGAUAGGUUUAAAAACUUUCACCUAAUACAAAACAUAUAUAUGUAUUUUCUCUCAAAAAAAAUUUAUCAUUAAAGCAUUAAACUAUAAUAUACCUUUUUAGUGGUUGUUUAUAAAUUUUAAAUCACAACUAAAUAAUUUGCUUUUGCUAAAAAAUGAGUGAUAUUAUAAUUAUUUGUCGCUUUAAAAUAUUACGGUUUUUGAAAACCGAAUUAUAAAAACCGAUCCAAUUGGAUUGUAAUUGGAUUGGAUUUGAAUUUAGUUUGGACUAUUCGGAUCAAUGUUUUGAAAACCGAAGUCUAUUCGGAUUCACUUAAUUGGUUCGGAUUAAAUCGAUCCAUCCAAACGAACACUAAGUGAUUUUACAGCAAUAUGAUAGCCAUUUAAUGAGAUUUUGUUUAUUUUCCACAUUAUUAUUUUUUUUAUUAAAGGUAAGUAAUUGUGUUUGUUUUUUGCAUUAAUUUUUUUCUAGAUUAAAGAGAGGUAAAUGAAAAAAAUAGUAUUAUAUGUUUGUAAAGUCAUUUAACAGGGACAAUAAUAAAGUUCUGUGCUAGUCAAUUAUGACAUAAUUUUUGUAUAUUUACAUAAAGGGUCAUUAAUACAUGAACUUUAUGUUCAUGACCUUUUAUGUAAAUAUAUCAUUUCUAACUUAGGGGUAUUAGGUGAUGCUUUCCCUGGUUCAAGUCUCGUCAUGGACGUAGGUGGAUUUAGAUGUAAGUUUAGGAGUUGAUUAUAUAUAUUAUAUUUGUUGGUUAAAAAAAAUACAUGAACUUGAAAUUGCAUAAAUGGUCCAUGUUUUUAAUAAAUAACAUAAAUGGUCCCUGAUAACAACAUUGUACAUUAAUUUUGUUUCUGGAUUAAAGGUACGCAAUAUUUUUUCUUGUUUAUUUAAAAAGUUUUAGAAAAGUAGUUAACUAAUAAAAAAAAAAACUUAAACAAAUAACAUUCUUGUUGGAUUUAAUGGUGGAAUUGAGUGAAUACUUAAACAAAAAAACAUUGUACUUUCAUGAUAUGAUUAUGUAUCAAAAUCAGAGAGGGGAAUAUCGAUUUUCUUAUUAUUCAAAUGUUGAAUCAGAUAUAUGUUUAUAUAAAAGAAUCCUAAACAAUAUCAAAUAGCUAAAAACAAGGAAGUAACAAGGUAAACAUUGAACAAGAUAAUAAUAAUCUCAAUACUCCCUCUCAAGUUGGAUUGUGAAGAUCACGAACACCCAACUUGACUCAAAGAAACUUGAAACGAUCUGCACCAAGAGUUUUAGUAAAAAUGUUAGCUGUUUGAAAUUCAUAAUGAAUACUGAAAGUUUUUAUCUCUCUAUCCUUUCACGAACAAAAUAAGAAUCCAUCUCAACAUGUUUUGUUCUUUCAUGAUAAAUCGGAUUCACUAGAAAAUGCAUGGUUGCUUUGUUGUCACACAUGAGUGGUGUAGGGCCAUUUUGCAUAACACCCACAUCAAGUAAUAGCCACCUUAACCAUAAGACUUCACAUACCAUUUUUGCCAUAGAUCUAUACUCAACUUCAGCUGAGGAUCUUGAUACAAUUGUUUGCUUCUUUGCUCUCCAUGAAACAAGUGAACCUCUCAAGCUAAUGAAUUACCAUGUGCAUGAUCUUCUAGUAGUAGGACUACUUAACCAACUUACGUCACAAUAUAUUGUGAGAUCUUAACUUCCACUAGAUGAAAAGAACAUCCCUUGACCAGGAGUGGUCUUCAAGUAGCAAGGCAUUUUGUAGGUUGUAUCCAAAUGAGACUUUUGUGGGCUACUUAAGAAUUGGCUCAGUUGGUUAAUAGCAAAAGUGAUGUUUGGACGUGUGACUGUGAGAUAUAGAAGGUUUCAACCAGCCUUCAAUAACGAGAGGCAUCGACCUCCGAACUUUCAUCAUCUUUUCGAAGCUUUAUGUCUUGUUCCAUCGGGAAUGCACUAGGUUUGCAAGCUAAAACACCACAAUCUUCAAGGAUAUCUAGCGUGUAUUUUCUUUGACUAAUCACAAAACCUUCCUUAGAACUAGAAACUUCUAUACCAAGGAAGUAUUUGAGUGGGCCCAAGUAUUUGAUGUUUAAACGAUUUUGAAGAUGAGUUUUUAUCUCGUUAAUUUUGUUGAUAUUGUUACCUAUCAACAAAAUGUCAUCGACAUAAAUAAGGGCAGUAAUAUGUAUUGAUUCUUUCUUGAACACAAACAUGGAAUGGUUUUCUUUACUCUGGUGGAAAUUGAUUUUUAUAAGAGCUUUCGUGAAUUUUUGGUACCAAUUUCUAGAAGCUUGUCAAAGACCAUAGAUGGACUUGUGUAGUUUACAAACUCGUUUCACAUUUUUAUCACGAAAACCUUGGGGGACCUUCAUAUAAACUUCUUCUUUGAGAUCUCCAUGAAAAAAUGCAUUAUUUACAUCCAUUUGAUGAACUUUCCCACUCCUUCUUCGCAGCCACAGCUAAAUCUUUUAACCUCUCCAGCGGAUUUAUAUUUUAUUUUGUAGACCCAUUUUGAGCCAAUAACUCUUUUUUCAGCUGUGAGUUCCAUCAAAACCAAGUUCCAUUCUCUUCAAGAUUUGUUACCUCCUUUUUUAUUGCUUCAAUCCAUCUUGGAUCUUUCAAAGAUUGAGUAAAGUCUUUCAGUUCUUCAUUUGAAGUGAUCGAUGCUACGAAAUCCUGAUGAGUUUUUGAGAACUUAGUAUAAGAAACAGAAUUAGAAAGAGGAUGUACCAGUGGAUUGGUCAUAGUCGAAGAGCAUGUAGCAGGGAUGGGCUUUCAGAAGUUGAUCGAUGGGGCAAAUCAGUCACAAAGUCUUCAAGGUGCUUGGGUUUAAAACGAACAUACGUACUUUGUCUAUUUCUUGUUUGCUCCAACAUGUCAUUUUUGGAAUAUUCUUUUUCCUUUUCUAAGGUAUUAGCCUUUAUAGUUAAUGGAUCACUGGUAGGUGGACUUUCAUCUGGAUAACUAGUGAAGCUAUCAUCGUUGACUUGGAUUUUAUUCAAUGCAUCAACAAGGUGUUUGUUUGCAAUUACCUUGUGUCCUUUAUAAUUUUUGCCAAAAGGGAAUUCACUAUCAACGAAAGUAACACUUCGACUUAUAUGAAUUCUUUGAUCUUUCAAGUUAUACAACAUAUAUCCUUUUUGACCCGUCGGAUAUCCAAGAAAUAUGCAUGGUAUGCCUCUUCAUCCAAACUUGUCAUAUUUUCCAAACACAUUAUGUACAUAGACCAAGCAACCAAAUACUCGUAAGUGCGUGUAUGUGGGCACCUUUCCAAGAAUGAUCUCAUGUGGUGUUUUGUUGUCUAAAUUUGUUGAUAAUUUAUGUUGUUGUUAGGAUGAAAACUCCCCAAAAUUCAAUUGGAAGUGAGGCUUAAAAACAUAAAGUUCUUCCCAUCUCUAACAAAUCUAUGUGUUUCUUUUCUAUCACUCCAUUUUGUUGUGGUCUGUAAACACAUGGGUCAUGGAGGUACUUAUUUAUUGAUUUAUAGCUUUUAUAUGAGGGUCACGACGUGAUACAUGGUGGUCACGUCAUGAGUGGCCAUUGACUAAUUGACACGUGUUUUUAAGUCUCACGACGUGAUACUUUGGGUGCUCACGACGUGAGAACGGCCUGAUGACCAAAACCCUGAUAUUUCGGGUAUUUAAUGGAAUGAGAGGGCUAGGGUUGCCUAUCCUUAGCAUCCCUCACUCUCUUGCCUCCUGAAAACCCUAAUCUCGACCUACUUGAAGUCCUUAGCCAUUUUGGUGACAUUGAAGCUCUCUUUGGUGGUUUUUGUCUCAUUGAAGUGGAAGAAGACCUUGGUGGAGAAACCUCUUGGCAAUCCACCUCCUACCUCACCUUCUUGCAAAUAUUUUGGACCAUUGUAAGUUACAAAGCUCUGACCUUUUUACCUCAUGCAUGCUAAAUCUAAGUUUUAAGCUCCUUUUUUCAUGAUUGUGAAGGAUUGCAUGCAUGGGAUCCAUAAAGUUGCCAACUUUAUGGAUCAUUGAGGCCUACUCUAUAGUAUAAUCUUUAGAUUUGAGUUUUGGAGUAGUUUUAGACUCCAAGCAUGAGUCUUGACUUCAUUUUUCCCCUCUUUUGACCUAGUGAGUGUUUGAUUCAUGCAUUGGACAUGCAUGACUAAAAAUCUACGAUUUUUAUCAUCCAUUGGGUAAGGGAAGACCCUAUGGAAAGUCCCAAGUAAUGGCUAAAAGGAAGAAGAGCUUAAUGCUCAAAGCUGUCCAGUUCAACGCUCACGACAUGAGGAAUAAGCAUGUCACUUUAUGAGAAUGCUUUCCAUCCCGAAUGUUUUGUCUAGAUUAGGUCACGACGUGACUCAGGAAGUGGCCACGAUGUGACGAUGAUUAGAAUUGAGACUAGGCGAGUUGAUUGGCUAAGUUGACCUGCUGAGUUGGGACCAGGUUAAGUUAAUGCUCACGACGUGACCAUGAGCUGGUCAUGAUGUGAGGGUCAGCUGUUGGAGUUUGGACUGUUGACUUGAGGCUAUUUUGGAACAUUUAGGCCUUAGGUUUCCCUAGAUGGGUUGGGCCAUUAGUGGGCCUAGUUUGGACUUGGGCCAUUUUGGGCCUCAUGAUUAUGAGCUUAACCUCAGAAAGUAACUAAGGUUGGUUUCAAUUAUAUUCAGCAUGAGGAGUCGUUGUGCAGCAAACUUGGGUGUGAGAUUUGCUAUCUUCUGAUUGAGGUGGGUUUUCCUCACUGCACUUGUGGGUUGAAGGCACCAAUGUCGGCCUGGUAGAUUAUGUAUCCUAGUUAGUAUGUUGUAGUGAUAUGUUAAGGUCUGCAUGAUUAUUUUUUUAUUGUUAUAUCUUUAUCUAUUAUAUAUAAGUCGACAUAGUAUCAUUGGCUUGAGGUAGUACUGCUUCGUGCGGUAGCCAGCAAACCCGAAAGCAAGCCAGACAUAAGUUGUGGGCCUGAAGGGCAAGCCAGACUUAUGUUGUAGGCUUAGGUUAAUCCAAUUUGUUAGCUUUAGUCCCAAUAUAUGUUGUUAUAUGUUAUGCGUGUUGGUACUUUGGGGAAAAUCACUAAGUUUUGGCUUACAGUUUCAGUUUAUUGUUUCAGGUACUUCAGAUGACCGUGGCAAGGCAAAGGCAUGACCGUACACAUCCUUCAGUUUUAUGUUAUUUGGAUUUUGGGAUACUUUGAUUACAAAAAUACAAUUUUAAAACAAUGAUUUUUUAAACAUUUAUGGUUUUGGAUUAUUUUUGAAAAGUUAAAAUUUGUCGUGAUUUUUGCGGUGUUACAUGGUGUGUAUGGGCACGAGGUUUCCAAUAGCAUACCCUUAUUUUUGUAAAAGUCCAGAAUGAAUCUAGAUUGAAAUUCUGAACAAUUAUCUAUUCUCAUCUUUUGACUUUCUUCUUAAAUUACGUUUCUACCAUAUUGUAAAAAGAGAUUAAUAAUUCAGCAGCUUCAAACUUGGUUUUCAUCAAAUAUAUCCAUACACCACGACUAUAAUCAUCCACAAUUAACAAUAAGUAAUAGGAACCAUUAAGAGAAGCAUGUUUGUAUCUACCCCAUAUGUCAACAUGAAUUAAAUCAAAGCAAUCUACUAUUUUCGAAAAAAAAAUUAAGAAAGGAAGCCUACUUUGUUUCUGUAAUACAUGAAUCACAAAAUUGGCUAUAAGUACCUAUGUCUCCUAAUUGUUGUAUCUUGCGAAAAACUCCCUCUAAAGUGUGCCCCAAUAUUCUAUGCUAAACAUUGUACUUCCUUAGAGUUGUCAUUUCCAUUUUCUUUCUUUCAACUGGCUCCAAGUUGUACAAUCCAUCGCGCUCUUUACCCAUCCAAAUUAGGCUCUUCGAACGUAAGUCAUGUAUGUAACAUGAAUAAGGUAAAACGUUAAAGAACAACCCAAAUUGCGAGUUAUCUUGAUAACUGAAAUUAAAUUAUAGUUGAAAUCUGGCACAUUUAAGACAUUUUUUAAGUUUGAAAUUGGAUAUAUUUAUAUCUCCUAUUCCUUUAACGUUCACAGUUUCGCCAUUUGGGACAGUGACUGAAGUGUCAUUCUUUCCAUUAGUCAUGGCAUUUGACCAUUUUUUAAGGUGGGUUAUGUGGUCAUUGACAGCUAAAUCAAUGAUCCAGCUGUCAAGUUUCUCGAUCUUAGCGGUCAUAUUUGUAGUUGAGUUUGUUCUUUGCUCACUUGGUUUUGUAGAUUUCAACAAUUGAAGCAAUCUAUCGUACUCUUCCUUGGUGAGAUUGGGUGUAUGUUGUGGAACAUCUCCACUGACGGUAGCAACACAAGGGUUAUGUUGCUUGGAUUUGUUUUGUUGAUUUUUGGAAGUGGGGGUUUUACAUUCCACCAAUCUAGAUAACCAAUAAGUUGAAACACCCAUCGAUUUUAUGUCCUAAUUUUUGGCAAUGGGAGCACCAGUGAUCAUCGUUCGUCCCAUUCAUGUUUUUGUCUUCUUUCUUGUUGGGGUUAUUUGAGGAGUUACCUUUUGUUAUAAUUCUUGAGCCAAGUUUGUUGCUGAUCUGGAAAGUCGCUACCUCAUUCAUGUUGUUUCUGGACGUACCAACCUUUUUUGGAUGUUCAUCUUGACUUAGCAGGGGGUACACAUUGCUUAAAGCGGGUAGUGGGUUGGUGCUAAGAAUUUGAGUUCUCAAAGCUCCACAAUCAUCAUUAAGUCCUUUAAGAAAAUCAUACAACACUCAUUUUCUUUCUUCAUAAUUUCCUUUAAGAUGUCACAUGUGCAACCUUGACAAGUACGUGAAGGUCAUACUUUCUUGAUGAAUCAUGGCGAUUGUUCAUCUUAAUUCGUAGGCUCUUGGAACAUUCUCCCUUCCAAAACUCUCUUCCAGAUCAAACCAUAUAUCACAUGUUGUGACUGCGUAUUUGACACUACUCUUGAUUUCUUUCUCCAUUGCACUGACAAGCUACCCUCUCACCAUGGCGUUACAUUGAUUCCAGUUCAUCAGAUCUGCCGAUCCUUCUUUUGGAAUGGGUUGUGGGUUAUCGAUGAAACCUACCAUGUUCUUGGCGAACAAGGCAUUCAUUAUCUUGUUCUUUCUGUCGCUAUAGUUUCCAUCAUGAAAAAGAUUCUCUCUACAAAAUUUAGCAAUGGAUGAUCAGAAGAUGUAACGAAAUAUGGAGACAAAACAUCAAUAGUUUUCGUUUGUGGUGGCGAUGGGUUUGAUCCUUUGCUACUAACCAUUGUUUGAGCAAAGUUCUAGGUUAAGUUUCCCAGAUUUUGCUCUGAUACCAUAUCAUAAUCAAAGAAGGAGAAUAUCAAUUUUCUUAUUAUUCAAAAGUUGAAUCGGAUACAUGUUUAUAUACUAGGAUAAAAGAAUCCUAAACAAUAUCAAAUAGUUAAAAAUUAGGAAGUAAUGAGAUAAACGCCGAACAAGAUAAUAAUAAUCUCAAUAUUAUGUAGUUGUAUGUAAUUUCAUGUAAUCUGUGAGAAAGAAAAUUGAAAUAUAUGCAUUUAUAGAUUUCAUACAUGAACAAAUAAAUAAUCAACUAUAUGUAAUUUCAUGAUCAAGCAAAAAUCGAAAGAAAGUAGUAACCUUUUGGUGCAAAUCAGCGAAGGUUUGAAGCAAAUAACGAUGUUUGAAGUUAUAAGCAUAAGAAUGAUGUUGUUGGAGAAGGUUUGAAGAAAAGAAACGAUUGCUAAUAAAAUUGAGUUGCAUAUUCAAGGAUGAAUCAUAUACGUGACUUAAUUUAAAUCUGAUAUUUUGGGAUUCAUUCCAAAAUUACAUGCCUUUCGGAUUUAUUUAGAUAAAUAGGAAAAUCUCUAGAAAAAUCUCAAUAUUUUAGGAAAAUUUUUAAUAAAGUUCUAAAUUUUAUUUUUUGAACAAAAAAAUCCCGAAUUUUUAACUUUUUGAAUAGAAAUGUCUAAGAAACCUGUUAAUUUAUUUACUUUAGCUCUUUUUAACCUGUUCAACAAGUAAUGAGACCAAAUCGUUAAUUUUUCCAUUAUAAUAAGACUUUUAUGCAGAUUUCGUCAAAACUUGUAUAUAAUGUAUAAACAUAUUUUUAUGUAUUUAUAUCUAUUUUACGUAUUUAUGUAUUUUUUUAAAAGUUUUUAUAUGUUUAUGUUUACGUAUUUUUAUGUAUUAUAAAUGUAUAACAUAUUUUUUAUGUAUUUAUAUGUAUUUUUAAGUAUUUUACAUAUAGUUUUAUGUGUAAUUUUUUUUUACGUAUUUAUGUAUUUUUUAAAGUUUCUAUAUGUAUAUGCUUACAUUUUUUUUAUAUAUUUAAAUUUUUUUACGGAUUUAUGUAUAUUUCUAAGUAUUUUACAUAUUUAUUUAUUUUUAUGUGUUAUGCUUUUAUGUAUUACGUAUAUAUGUAUUUUUAAGUUAUUUAUAUAAAUGUUUAUGUAUUUUCAAUGUAUAAACAUAUUUUUUAUGCGGAGGCCCCUUCUUCGGAGACAUUCAGUGGCGGUUGGCUUCCUUACCUAUUCGUUUCGAUGGUUUGAGUUUGUACUCGACAUACGAGGUUUCCUCCUACAGAUUUGUUGCAUCGAGGGCCCAAUCUUGGGCAUUACAAGACCACAUCUUACGUGACAGUGGCAUAUGUGGUGUGGACUCGGAUUACUUAUGUGUUAUGACUCGUCUUCGCGAUACGAUUCCUGGAUUUGACUGUAGCGGUUUCAUUAAUAAGGACACCCCCCCCUAAAUCCCAAAAAGCAUUGGCGUGUGCCCUUUUUAGCAAAAUCAUCAAGGAUAUGGAAGUCGACUUCGACAUGACUGUCAGACAUAAAGCAGUCUUUGAGUGUCUGCGGGCACCUCAUGCUUAGGAUUUUCUGCUAACUAUCCAUAUUGAUGGUCUUGGUCAUCAUAUGUCUCUUGUGGAUUACCGAACUAUCCUUCGUUACCGCCUCAUGAUUCCCCUAUUCCUAAUUGACGAGAUAUGCCCAGUUUGCCGCAAGGCAUGUUUGGAUACCUUUGGGGAACUUGCGGUUCAUUGUAGAGAGCUCCCUGGCUUCAAGUACAAACAUGAUGUGGUUCAGGAUGUUCUCUGUGAUGCUUGUCGGCGUGCUGGUAUUUCUGCGAAGAAAGAAGCGCCAUUGAACUUUUUGACGGACUCGCAGGAUGGAAGGUCCACACUUAGAUCGGCUGACAUUUUGGCAUUUGGAUGGAUAGAAGGGAAGCAUGUGUGCGUGGAUCUUACUAGGGUCUCUAAUCUCGUUGGUUUAGGGAGCGGGUUUCACAGCAGGACAUGUCGCUUUAAAAGCCACUACAUGAAAAGUGGUAAAACACGAAAAUGCAUGUAUAGAAAAUCAACAUGUGUUUGUACCUUUUACAUUUGAUACAUUUGGUUUUCUCGCACCAGAGGCGGUGGAGCUCCUCAACAGAGUUCAACGGGUUAUGCAUUCUAAUGUCAUAUCUCCUAGAUCCACAAAUAUUGUUUUCAAAAGAAUUGGUUUUGUCAUCCAUAAAGGGCUACCGGCUUAGCUUGUUGCCCAUUUGCCUUUAGUCGAUAUGUAUUGAACUAUUUUAGUCGAAACAUUAUAUAUAUAUAUAAUAUUUGAGAUUAUAUGUAUUUAUAUGUAUUUUUAAGUAUUUUACAUAUUUUUAUGUAUUACGUAUUUAUAUGUAUUUAUAUAUUUCUUUAAAGUUUUUAUAUAAAUGUUUAUGUAUUUUUAUGUAUUUUAAAUCUAGAACUAUAUUUUUUUUACAUAUUUAUGUAUUUUUUUAAUUUAAAUCAUUUUCACCAUUUCAUCCAAUUUGUACAACUUCUUCCUACAUACCCACAUAUUUUAAGCUUUUUCCAUUCGCUUAGACGUACUCGAAGAAGCCGUGCAAAUUAAAUGAAAUGAUGAAGAUGACUUGAAGUAAAAAAUACAUAAAUACGUAAAAAUAAUACGGUUAUACAUUUAAAAUACAUAAACAUUUAUAUAAAAAGCUAAAAAAUAUAUAUAAAUACACAUAAAUACGUAAUACAUAAAAAUACACAAAAAUAUGUAAAAUACUAAAAAAUUACAUAUAAAUACGUAAAACAAUACGUUUAUACCUUUAAAAUAUAUAAAAAUACAUAAACAUGUAUAAAAAAAACUUUUUUAAAAAUACAUAAAUAAGUAAAAAUACAUAUAAAUACGUAAUACAUAAAAAACACAUAAAAAUAUAUGUAAAAUAGUUAAAAACACAUAUAAAUACGUUUAUACAUUUAAAAUACAUAACACCUAUAUAAAAAACUUUAAAAGAUACAUAAAUAUGUAAAAUUGAAUAUAAAUACCCAUUACAUAAAAACACAUAAAAAAAUACAUAAAAAAUGUGUAAAAUGGUUAUAUAUAUAUAUAUAUAUAUAUAUAUAUAUAUAUAUAAUCCCUNNNNNNNNNNNNNNNNNNNNNNNNNNNNNNNNNNNNNNNNNNNNNNNNNNNNNNNNNNNNNNNNNNNNNNNNNNNNNNNNNNNNNNNNNNNNNNNNNNNNNNNNNNNNNNNNNNNNNNNNNNNNNNNNNNUUUAGGUAAAAAUGAGCUAAAAUAAAUAAAUUAACGGUUUAUUAACAAAUUUCUUAAAAUAUUAAGACUUUUUCUAUUGCUAAUUUAACGGUGGAAUUUGAGUAAUUGAGGUACCAAAAUCGGAUAGAAUUCAAAUGCAGAAUAAGCACAGUCGACUUUGUGAUAUAAUGAUGUCUUUUUGUGAGAAUAAAUAGCUAAAAAAAAUUAUAAAGAUUCUGGUAAUAGCAAUCCUAAGGCUAAACGGUAUCGAUACAAGGUGGCUACGCGUGGGGUUACGUGGCAAGGCCACCUAUGCGUGAACAUCGUCCCAGGCGCGCGUAGAUGCCUUGUGGCAUAGUAGGGAUCACGGACGAAGACGGCCGAUCAGAAGGAGGGAAAGAGUAUGUAUGUAUGUAACGUAUCUUUUUUUUGAGCGUUUGCUUUGCUGACCGUUUGCGUCUUUAAACAAAAAAAAAUUAAUUUUUAUGUUUGCGGGAUUAGGUUUUAAUAUUUAUGUUUUAGUUGUUGUGUGUUUUUUUAAGUAAAUUAGGAUAAAUAAGUAAUUUAGGAUUUUUUUUGUUGUUUAAAUUAUUUUAGGAAAAAUAAGUAAUUGAGGAUUUUUUUUAUUCUUGUGUUUUAAAUAUUGUAGGAUUUAAGUUUGUGUGUUUAAAAAUUAAUGCAAUGUUUUUUAAUUUAAUGUUUUUAAUAUGUGUUUUAUUUGAAUUAUUUUUUAAUUUAAUUUAAUAUUAUUCAAAAAUAUAAAAAAGAAAAAAAUGAUAUGGAAUGGUAAUCAUUUCUAAAGAUUAGUGGGUUAAUAUUAAGUUAGUAGUGAAGUUGAUAUGACACUGACGUGACUUCUAGAUAACCAUACCCGUUAACCUAAUAAGAAUAUUUCUUAAAAGAUUGAAGAUGAGACAUCAAUUGAUAUAAUAUUAGAUUAGAACCCGCGUUAAACGCGGGAAACACAUAAAAAACAUAUAAUCGUUUACAAAUAUUUCAUAACGAUUAUAAAAAAAAUAUAUGGUUAUUGGUAUUAUUGAAUUGUGUAGAAAAUACAUUGAAAACAAUAAAUAUCUAUAAUCAUUGAAGGACCUUUUUGUAGACAAUAUUUUUUGUUUUAUUAGUUGAACGGCCUUCCUCGUCUCAUAUAGUUAUGAUAUUGUUAUAUAAUUAUAAGCAUUUUAAUUAGACGUUCCUUCCAUAAUAAGGUUACCUAAUUUAAACAUAUAUUGACAACCAAUGUACCGUUUUUUCUACUGCAUUAAAUAUUGACAACUAUUUCAUUUAUUCAAAUAAAGUUAUAUAAUAUAAUUUAUAGAAUGUUAAAUGUUAUAUGAAUUUAAUUUUAAUAUAUCAUUAAUGGAGAUUCUUUUCUAAAUCAUGAUUGGUUUAUUUUAAAUUGAUUAUCAAUAUAAAUGCUAACUUUUAUGUUUGUUCUUAUUUAUUUGGUGUUUGCAAGAACUUUGCAUUAGUUNUUAGUUUUGGCGCAACUUUGAAUAAUUUUAGUAUAUCAUCAAUGUAAUUUGGUAUAUCUUUCAAUUAUAUGAAAUAUCAAAUAAUGACAUUUCAUUACUAUUUUGAUGAUUUAGUUUAUAUAUUGUAUUUUUACUAAUCUUAACGGUCUUAUUUUUUCUAAUAACCGUAACGCUUUUGCUAAUUGUACUUUCUACAAAUCUCCUAAUAUCUUAUAAUUUUUAUCUUACUUUAUAAUUUUUCAUAACUAUGUUAUUUUUAAGAUUGACUGUCUUAAUAGUUUUUUUUUCAGUAUAUUCAAUUUUAUAUUUCAUUGUACAACAUUAUCGUUUGUAUGUAUUAUGAAAUUUCACUUUAAAAAUGCUUAAUGGUUACACCUUGAUAUUAACUUUUUUAAUAAACCCGUGUUAUAAUUAUGAAAUAUAUAUCUCAUUUUAAUUAACAAUUACUUCCUUUAUUAUAUCAAAUUCCUCAUUAAAUGAAUAUAUUUUUGGAAAGUAAUAAUUAUAAUGAGACAGCAUUAUCUAAGACGUAAAUGUUUGAUAUAUUUUUGGAGGAAAAAAAUCAGGAUCAUUAAAAAAAAUUAUAUAAAGAAAAUACAAAUUGAAAUUUGGUGAAAUUAUGGAUGAAAUUACUGGCGAAAAUUAUUUUGGAGGGAGUUGUAUUUUGUAAGGUAUAAUAAUAUUACAAAAUUCAAAAUAUGUAUAUUUGUCGUGUAAAUUUAUAAAUUUUUUUGUUAUUAUAUAAAGAUAAAAAAGUAGGUUGAUAUGAUAUACAAAAACAUAAUAAUUUCAAUGAUAUUUUAAAAUCAUGCCAAAAUUAACUGGAUUCUUGUGACAUAAAAACUAACAAAAAUCAUGAUCAUCUUUAAUAUAUAGGAACAAAAAAAAUAAUUGAAAAAAUUAUAAAAAGCGAAAGAAAGUACUGACCUUCUAAUGCAAAAUAACGAAUGUUUGAAGCAGAGAAUGGUGAUGAAAGAUAUAAGCAAUAAUAAAGAUGUUAUAGGAGAAUGUUUGAAGAAAAGAAACGAUUAAAAAUAAGUGUGAGCCAUGGAUUCAAUGAUGAAUCGUAUAUUUAUGUGAUAAGUUGAAUAUGAUUUUUCGGUAUUAAUGAUUUCUUAAUAAAAAUAGAUUUUUUAUUAAUGGUUUACUAAUAUAAACGGAUUUAUACUAAUGGUUGAUAUUAAUGCAAUGAUUGAAAUGGUUUGUUAGUGAUAUGCUUUUAAAAUUAACCAUAUUAAAAUCUACAUAAUCGGAAAUUCAAGAUUUAAAAUAUGGAAAACUUUUAUUGGAAUUAAAUACAUUUCAUUUCAACGAAUUAAAGUUAUUGUUUGACGAUUGGAAAACAUUUAUUGCAAUUAAAUACAUGUCAUAUGGUAAAGAUGAUGUCAACAAUUUGAUCUAAUGGUGGAAAAAAUAAGAUUGAAAUACAAUCAAAGGCCGAGAUUAUUUAAAAUGAUGUCUUAAGGUUUCUUUUAAUAAUAUUUAAAGAUUUAUGGAACUUGGAGUUAAAAAAGUGCCUCGGUAAAAAGUUUUCAUCGGUUAACUGGUGUCUAUGUCAGCUGAUGAGUUUUUUUCACUUCCCAUCAACAAAUUUCUGUAUAACAUUUUCUUAAUGAACGAAUGAAGCAUAGCUGCAGCAGCAGCAGAUUCUAUAAAUAAAUAAAUAAAUAAAGUUACAUAUUCAAAACAAAUAAAACAUACAAAAUUCAUUUAAUAUAUAAUUUAUAUCUCCUUCUUCAUCAUCAUCACAUGCCUUAUACUUGGAACGGUGGUGUCCACACCUUAGAGUUUUCCUCCGCCUGUACCUUCCCGCCGGUCCGGCUGCCUUCAACAAAAGCAUAAUACCUCAAGAAGAAAGCAAGAGUCAAAACCAACCAUUCCAAACAGAACAUCAAAACACAGAGCCCACCGGCCAUCUUCAAUAUCACCGCCGCAUCAUCCUCCCUCACAUACGAUUUCAACGCCGCCAAGAAAUUCGAAGUCGUCGUGAAAAUCAGAACAGAUACAGAUCCCUGGAAAAUCGCGGUGAGGACAGCCGCCACCAUGUGGGCUGCGUACCACUUGUUUGACCCGGCCGACACCGCAUUGCAUCCUGAGAUGGCUCCGGCGAUGGUGAUGAUGUGGAGGAGGACAAGUAGUCCACCGGCGACGGAGGGGAGAAGGCGGAGGGAGAGUGUGAGGAAGAUGCAACUGGAGGCUGCUCCCAGUAAGACGUAAUUGCUGAUGAGGAAGAGCUUGUGGGUCUUGUAGUGUGAUUGAACAUCGCUUGAGAAACCCAUUUGCUUAAGCUUG